CAGGUGUACCGCUGAAAUGCGUAGAGUAUCUGGAGGAAUACCACGUGGCGAACGCGGCCCUCUUGGACCACAACUGACGCUCACGUGCGAAAGCGUGGGGAGCAAACAGGAUUACCAUACCCUGCGUAGUCUCCGCCCUAAACUAUGUCUACUUGCAGGUUGUGCCCGUUAAUCCCCUCCUUCCUUCAACUAACGCGUUUACUCGACCCCCAGGGGAGUUCCGCGGCAAGGCCAGGCUCUUAUGAAUUGACCGGGGCCCCCACCAGCGGUGGCAUUUGUGGUUAAUCCAUGCAACGCGUAGAACCCCCCUAAGG
rnacentral:rRNA from 1 species